ensembl:lncRNA
GGAUGAGAUGGUUGGAUGGUACCACCGACUUGAUGGACAUGAGAUUCAGCAAGCUUAUGGUGUUGGUGAUGGACAGGGAGGUCUGCCCCCAGGUUCCUCUGUCCAUGGGAUUCUCCAGGCAAGAAUACUGGAGUGGGUAGUCACUUUCUUCUCCAGGGGAUUUUCCUGACCCAGGGGUUGAACCUGGGUCUCCUGCACUGCAGGCAAGAUUCUUUACCAUCUGAAUUUCCAGGGAAGCCCCAUGAAUGUGCGUGAGUAGUGAUAAAUGACAUGAAUGUUUUACUCUAGCCUACCCCACACACUACAUCCUUAGGAAUAAAGUUAGAGUGAAAUGUAUGAAUAUAGUCUGAUUGUUUUGUUUCUUUUUUACUGUGAGUUCUUUGUUUGGUUUUCUGCAUUGGAGGAGGGCAUUUCAGACAAUGGAGUAAUCUAAGGGCUGAAAUGAGUUUUGAAUAUUGCCCUGUGGACUUAGUCCUAGUUUGGGUGCUGUGAGGGAAGGGGCUCCUUAUUAUGUGGAAAUUUCUCUCCAGAAACUGGCAAGAGUGAGCAGUUAAGGCUGUGUGAAUGGAGAGCUGGACUGGCCUGGAGUCCCGUGUAGUCCUCUUUUCUAUUUCUGUGUGUAUCCAGUCUAUGGUUAUGGGAGCAAGGGAGGAUACAAGUACAUAUAUUUGUUCAGGGAAAUAUGCACGUUCCCAAACAUAGUGUAGGCCUGAAAGUCUUUGUGUUAAGCUCUAAUCGGAGAGAGAAAUUAUUUAAGGGUCACACCUUCAGGGGCGAAGCAGGGUGUAAGCUCCAGACAUUAGGUUCGGUCUGAGAACUACAGGGAGAAAGGAGAAUGCAGUAGUUAGGCCAAGUGGAUUGUCUAACAUUGUAUUUUUAUUCAUCAAUUGGCACUCUAGUAGUUUAAAAAAGGAAACAGAAAUUGGGGUUAGUCUGUGACUUUCCAGCCAGGAUAUUAUGGCUGCCAUAUAGAUGUGACUGUCUGAAAGACUUCAAUUGAUUUUGAGAGUUAGAUUGACUUGAGCAUGAAGAAGCUCUCCAACCCAUGACACUUUUUUCCCCCCUCUGUGAGCUACAGUUAGACGGAUAUGUUCAAGAUAAUCUUAAAAGAAUCAAUAGA